rnacentral:rRNA from 1 species
UGAGGAAUAUUGGUCAAUGGGCGAGAGCCUGAACCAGCCAAGUAGCGUGCAGGAUGACGGCCCUAUGGGUUGUAAACUGCUUUUAUAUGGGAAUAAAGUGAGGGACGUGUCCCUUAUUGCAUGUACCAUAUGAAUAAGGACCGGCUAAUUCCGUGCCAGCAGCCGCGGUAAUACGGAAGGUCCAGGCGUUAUCCGGAUUUAUUGGGUUUAAAGGGAGCGUAGGCUGUUUGUUAAGCGUGUUGUGAAAUGUAAGAGCUCAACUUUUAGAUUGCAGCGCGAACUGGCAGACUUGAGUGCGCACAACGUAGGCGGAAUUCAUGGUGUAGCAGUGAAAUGCUUAGAUAUCAUGACGAACUCCGAUUGCGAAGGCAGCUUACGGGAGCGCAACUGACGCUAAAGCUCGAAGGUGCGGGUAUCGAACAGG